rnacentral:lncRNA from 10 species
GAAUCCCUACCCCCAAAAGAUAUGAAGUCUUAACCCCUGGAAGAGGGAAGUUUGGACACAGACACACACAGACAAGAGAAUACCAUGUGACAAAGGCAGAGAUUGGAAUGAUACAGCUGCAAGCCAGGGAUGCCAAGGAUUGCAGGUGAAGAGUCAAGGAAGGAUUCUACCCAGAGUUGCACGGCCUUAUUGACACCUUGAUUUGGGCUUCUAGACUCCAGAAUCAUGACAGAAUAAAUUUAUCUGUGUGGAUGUGUGUGUGUGUGUGUGUGUGUGUGUGUGUGUGUGUGUUUUCCUAAAAAAGAGACAAGGUCUCAUUCUAUCCCCCAGGAUGGAGUGCAGUGUCAUGAUCAUAGCUCACUGCAGCCUCGAUCUCCUGGACUCAAAGCAUCUUCCCACCCCAGCCUCCCAGGAAUCUGGGACUACAGGUGUGAACCACUGUGCCGGCUCUGUUGAUUUAAGCCACCGAGUUUGUGGAACUUUGUUAUGGCAGUUCUAGAAAAUGAAUAUAAUAAUUAAAAUGAAAGUUUUGCUAACUGCUACCUUUACCUUUACCAUGUGCAAUUUUAUUUUAUUCUUUUUUUAAGCUUCUUAUAACUCAGUUCACUGGUUUCAUAAUCUACUAAUGGGUUGUAAUCCAAAGUGUGAAUAAUAUACCAGAAAUACCCUUGAAAGUUCUUUCCAAACUUGAGAGUUUGUGAUUCUAUGGGACCUAAGUGGGGCACAGAUCAGAAGAAUCAAAACACAAAAAAG